rnacentral:misc_RNA from 1 species
AAGUCGUAACAAGGUUUCCGUAGGUGAACCUGCGGAAGGAUCAUUAACAAAUCCGUGUUGUGCAGCAGCUGCUGCACAAUAACACAUUAGCCCCCACAAGGGGUCUUGGCCAGCAAUGGCCAAUAUUUACCACGCUUUACAGUUUGACGAUCGACCAGUAAUUUAAUGAAAAGAGAGUAUAACUUUUAACAAUGGAUCUCUUGGCUCUU